UUUUGUUGCUGUUUCAACCCUGACUUGUUAAGCAGGGUUGGGCCUGCUUAGUACUUGAAUGGGAGACCACAGAUGCCGCAGUGGGAAAGCAGUGGCUUCAAACU
rnacentral:rRNA from 1 species